UACGAAGGGGGCUAGCGUUGUUCGGAAUUACUGGGCGUAAAGCGUGCGCAGGCGGUUUGUUAAGUCCGUUGUGAAAGCCCCGAGCUCAACUUGGGAAUUGCAGUGGAUACUGGCAGGCUGGAGUACGGUAGAGGAAGGUGGAAUUCCCGGUGUAGCAGUGAAAUGCGUAGAGAUCGGGAGGAACACCAGUGGCGAAGGCGGCCUUCUGGACCAGUACUGACGCUCAUGCACGAAAGCGUGGGGAGCAAACAGG
rnacentral:rRNA from 1 species